rnacentral:rRNA from 1 species
AGAGCGAACGCUGGCGGCAGGCCUAACACAUGCAAGUCGAGCGCCCGUAGCAAUACGGGAGCGGCAGACGGGAUAGUAACACGUGGGAACGCGCCCUUCGGUCCGGAAUAACUCAGGGAAACUUGAGCUAAUACCGGAUACGCCCUUACGGGGAAAGAUUUAUUGCCGAAGGAACGGCCCGCGUCCGAUUAGCUAGUUGGUGAGGUAAUGGCUCACCAAGGCUACGAUCGGUAGCUGGUCUGAGAGGAUGACCAGCAUCACUGGGACUGAGACACGGCCCAGACUCCUACGGGAGGCAGCAGUGGGGAAUAUUGGACAAUGGGCGCAAGCCUGAUCCAGCCAUGCCGCGUGGAUGAUGAAGGCCUUAGGGUUGUAAAGUCCUUUUAACGGGGAAGAUAAUGACGGUACCCGUAGAAUAAGCCCCGGCUAACUUCGUGCCAGCAGCCGC